UACGUAGGGUGCAAGCGUUGUCCGGAAUUACUGGGCGUAAAGAGCUCGUAGGCGGUUUGUCGCGUCGUCUGUGAAAACCAGCAGCUCAACUGUUGGCUUGCAGGCGAUACGGGCAGACUUGAGUAUUUCAGGGGAGACUGGAAUUCCUGGUGUAGCGGUGAAAUGCGUAGAUAUCUGGAGGAAUACCGGUGGCGAAGGCGGCAUCCUGGACCGACAUUGACGCUGAGGAGCGAAAGCUAGGGGAGCAAACGGG
rnacentral:rRNA from 1 species